GCCAGUUCGUCGGCAGGCACCGCGCGCGCCGCUGCCGUCUCGCGCAACUUGUUCCAACUGCAUAGAACAACUUUCAUAUUAUAUCUAAGCGCUGUUCACGUGCAUCCACCAGACAGUGGCGACCCCUAUCGUAGACUCUACGCUUCUUAACCUUCGCGUGUUCUUCGUGAUAUCUCUUAACAACGGAACGAUAUAAAAUAUAGUGCGAAUAUUUGAAAUGAUUUGUGAUUGACGAGUGUUUGUAAAAUAGAUUUGGUGACAGCGGCGUACCGUCGUGAUGCUACAAGAUUGGUGUAGCUUUGACCGGAGCAUUGGUACAACAUAAUGAAGUUCAUUAGUUUUCAUUUAAGAGGAACAGUUGAAAAGAGAGGAAAUUACCAGAGCGUAAGACUACGAGCUUCGAAAUGCCACCUAAGUAAGCCCAACAUUUCAUAAUUUAGUAGUAUGGAUUGUAGAUCGUAUCGACAUAACUGUAAAUUGAUACGAUACGAUUAAGUUAUAAUUCUUAAACUACUUGUUACUGUGUUUAUACAACGCCUGCUUGGUUACUCCAAAUUCAAGCUUUUAGUUUUAUUCAUAAAAAAGUUAAAACGGGUCGAAAAUGGCCUGAAUUGCUUUGAGAAAAGAAUCGUACGGCCGUGCCACUUUUUUGCUCGACUUGAUGAAGGCACUACAGUGCCCCCCGAUAAACGAUUUUUGACUUAUUAAAAUUUAUCACUACAAACAAAUUUAUUUUAGCUAUUAUAAAUGAGAUAGAAAAAUGUUAUAUUAAAA
rnacentral:lncRNA from 1 species